GACGAACGCUGGCGGCGUGCUUAACACAUGCAAGUCGAACGGAAAGGCCCUGCUUUUGUGGGGUGCUCGAGUGGCGAACGGGUGAGUAACACGUGAGUAACCUGCCCUUGACUUUGGGAUAACUUCAGGAAACUGGGGCUAAUACCGGAUAGGAGCUCCUGCUGCAUGGUGGGGGUUGGAAAGUUUCGGCGGUUGGGGAUGGACUCGCGGCUUAUCAGCUUGUUGGUGGGGUAGUGGCUUACCAAGGCUUUGACGGGUAGCCGGCCUGAGAGGGUGACCGGCCACCUUGGGACUGCGAUACGGACCAGACUGCUACGGGAGGCAGCAGUGGGGAGUAUUGCACAAUGGGCGGAAGCCUGAUGCAGCGACGCCGCGUGCGGGAUGACGGCCUUCGGGUUGUAAAACGCUUUCGCCUGUGACGAAGCGUGAGUGACGGUAAUGGGUAAAGAAGCACCGGCUAACUACGUG
rnacentral:rRNA from 1 species